rnacentral:sRNA from 1 species
AGUAACCAGGGGGAUUCAAAGUCGGCGGACGCUCGUGCUUGCACGAAAAGGCCGAUGACCUUGAAUCCUGCUGGGGUAUGAGGAAGCAGCGAUUUACGAAGUAAAUCAGCGGAUUCCGAAUUGUUGACGGGCUUAAGACGAUUGUUAGAGCGGGCUACGGCAACU